GUGUCAGCCGCCGCGGUAAUACAGAGGGUGCGAGCGUUAAUCGGAUUUACUGGGCGUAAAGCGUGCGUAGGCGGCUUUUUAAGUCGGAUGUGAAAUCCCUGAGCUUAACUUAGGAAUUGCAUUCGAUACUGGAAAGCUAGAGUAUGGGAGAGGAUGAUAGAAUUCCAGGUGUAGCGGUGAAAUGCGUAGAGAUCUGGAGGAAUACCGAUGGCGAAGGCAGCCAUCUGGCCUAAUACUGACGCUGAGGUACGAAAGCAUGGGGAGCAAACAGGAUUAGAAACCCCGGUAG
rnacentral:rRNA from 1 species